rnacentral:rRNA from 1 species
UACUACCGUGAAUACGUUCCCGGGUCUUGUACACACCGCCCGUCAAAUCAUGGAAGUCACCAAUACCCAACGUCUGGAUUUAUUCCGGCCUAAGGUAGGGGGGAUAACUGGGAUU